AGCGAACGCUGGCGGCAGGCCUAACACAUGCAAGUCGAACGGAUCCUUCGGGAUUAGUGGCGGACGGGUGAGUAACACGUGGGAACGUGCCCUUUGGUUCGGAACAACUCAGGGAAACUUGAGCUAAUACCGGAUGUGCCCUUCGGGGGAAAGAUUUAUCGCCAUUGGAGCGGCCCGCGUCGGAUUAGCUAGUUGGUGAGGUAAAGGCUCACCAAGGCGACGAUCAGUAGCUGGUCUGAGAGGAUGAUCAGCCACAUUGGGACUGAGACACGGCCCAAACUCCUACGGGAGGCAGCAGUGGGGAAUCUUGCGCAAUGGGCGAAAGCCUGACGCAGCCAUGCCGCGUGAAUGAUGAAGGUCUUAGGAUUGUAAAAUUCUUUCACCGGGGACGAUAAUGACGGUACCCGGAGAAGAAGCCCCGGCUAACUUCGUGCCAGCCGCCGCUGUAAAAC
rnacentral:rRNA from 1 species